UACGUAGGGGGCAAGCGUUGUCCGGAUUUAUUGGGCGUAAAGAGCGUGUAGGCGGCCGCACAGGUCCGUUGUGAAAACUGGAGGCUCAACCUUCAGACGUCGAUGGAAACCGUGCGGCUAGAGUCCGGAAGAGGAGAGUGGAAUUCCUGGUGUAGCGGUGAAAUGCGCAGAUAUCAGGAGGAACACCGGUGGCGAAGGCGGGUCUCUGGGCCGAUACUGACGCUGAGGAGCGAAAGCUAGGGGAGCGAACGGG
rnacentral:rRNA from 1 species